UCUGGUCAGAAUAUUCCUGCUGCAAAUCACAGGAAACUGGAAAGUGUUAAAGAGGGACAGGUAGUUUAUGGAUUUAUGAGUUGGAAAAAGAAAAAAUCAUUCUGAAUUGUCCCUUCAGACCUUAUCUAGUCAAAUAAGCUUACUGCUAUGUCCUUUGUAGACCGCAACGUUCCAGAAGUGUUCGACGGAUUGUACACAUGAACACCUGUAUUGAACCUCAAACGUGACCAA